CACGUAGGGUGCGAGCGUUGUCCGGAAUUAUUGGGCGUAAAGAGCUCGUAGGCGGUGUGUCGCGUCGGCCGUGGAAACCUGCAGCUUAACUGUGGGCUUGCGGUCGAUACGGGCAUCACUGGAGUUCGGCAGGGGAGACUGGAAUUCCUGGUGUAGCGGUGAAAUGCGCAGAUAUCAGGAGGAACACCGGUGGCGAAGGCGGGUCUCUGGGCCGAUAUUGACGCUGAGGAGCGAAAGCGUGGGGAGCGAACAGG
rnacentral:rRNA from 1 species